UACGAAGGGGGCUAGCGUUGCUCGGAAUCACUGGGCGUAAAGGCGCGUAGGCGGCCGAUUAAGUCGGGGGUGAAAGCCUGUGGCUCAACCACAGAAUUGCCUUCGAUACUGGUUGGCUUGAGACCGGAAGAGGACAGCGGAACUGCGAGUGUAGAGGUGAAAUUCGUAGAUAUUCGCAAGAACACCAGUGGCGAAGGCGGCUGUCUGGUCCGACACCGACGUCAGGCACGAAAGCGUGGGGAGACAAAGCAGGU
rnacentral:rRNA from 1 species